UAGACGCCGAUCCCCUUCCUUCCCAAGCCGCACCUCCUUCAUCCCCGAGCUCCCUCCCUCUUGUGAACCUGCUCCCUAAAACCCGCCGACUACAAGCUCUGUCGAGUCCUCCUCGUUCUCGUGCCCUCAGCCCGACGCCGCCGGCCUCCCAUCCUUCUAACACGGCCACCACAACGGCUGACGAUCUCCCUUCUCCUCACGCGGGCGCCAGCCGUCGAGCACCGAUUCUUCUCCUCGCACGAGCACCUCAGACGCCACCUCUGCCCUAGCGUCGGCCGCUCGAUCCACUGCCACCUCCGGCCACAACAAAAGCUACCCAGUAACAGGUAGAUGAGUCAUGGAUGCUUGGAGAGAUGUCGGCUGCCAGUCCUGGGUCCUGCGUUAUAUCGGUUUUCUUUCUGCUUUACUUGUAUUUUUAGUAUACAGCGAUUUUAGUAUUGUAUGAAUUGGUUUGUGUUCUGGGUCAAGUCUGUGAUGACAGGUAUUUUUGUUAGUGUCGUUGUUGGUUUUA